rnacentral:misc_RNA from 1 species
GAACCACAAGGGGAGCCGAAGCUCCCCCAGAAUUAGUUGCAUGCUCUAUUUUUAUUAUUGAUUGCGGGCUUUUUGUUUUUGUUAAUCGCCCUGGUUACAGAGGUCUUGCCUGAGUAACCCUCCCAAUCGGGAGAUAAGAGCAAACGGAUUGCUUUGGUCGCUGUGUUGAUGUGAUCAAUGAUCCAACUAGUUCAGGCUCUGCUUUAAGUGCAGUU